rnacentral:rRNA from 1 species
GUAGGUGGCAAGCGUUGUCCGGAAUUAUUGGGCGUAAAGCGCGCGCAGGCGGUUCUUUAAGUCCGAUGUGAAAGCCCACGGCUCAACCGUGGAGGGUCAUUGGAAACUGGAGAACUUGAGUACAGAAGAGGAAAGCGGAAUUCCACGUGUAGCGGUGAAAUGCGUAGAGAUGUGGAGGAACACCAGUGGCGAAGGCGGCUUUCUGGUCUGUAACUGACGCUGAGGCGCGAAAGCGUGGGGAGCAAACAGGGAUUAGAUACCCUGGUAGUCCACGCCGUAAACGAUGAGUGCUAAGUGUUAGGGGGUUUCCGCCCCCUUAGUGCUGCAGCUAACGCAUUAAGCACUCCGCCUGGGGAUACGGCCGCAAGGCUG